UUUCCGUAGGUGAACCUGCGGAAGGAUCAUUAGCAAUUUAACGCCCUCUGGGCGUUUAGAUCACACGUGUCUCUGAUACGUGGUGUGGUGAGGCAACUCCUGCUUUAGAUCGCAGCUACACCCGUGUAUACUACCCUUGUUGCUUUGGCGGGCCGCCUUCGGGCUAGGCUUCGGCUGACCGCGCCCGCCAGAGGACCCAAACUCUUUUGUUAUAGUGAUGUCUGAGUACUAUAUAAUAGUUAAAACUUUCAACAACGGAUCUCUUGGUUCUG
rnacentral:misc_RNA from 1 species